UACGAAGGGUGCAAGCGUUACUCGGAAUUACUGGGCGUAAAGCGUGCGUAGGUGGUUCGUUAAGUCUGUCGUGAAAGCCCCGGGCUCAACCUGGGAAUGGCGAUGGAUACUGGCGAGCUAGAGUGCGGUAGAGGAGAGUGGAAUUCCCGGUGUAGCAGUGAAAUGCGUAGAGAUCGGGAGGAACAUCAGUUGCGAAGGCGGCUCUCUGGACCAGCACUGACACUGAGGCACGAAAGCUAGGGGAGCAAACAGG
rnacentral:rRNA from 1 species